ACAAUGGAGAGUUUGAUCCUGGCUCAGGAUGAACGCUAGCGGGAGGCCUAACACAUGCAAGCCGAGCGGUAGAGAUUCUUCGGAAUCUUGAGAGCGGCGUACGGGUGCGGAACACGUGUGCAACCUGCCUUUAUCAGGGGGAUAGCCUUUCGAAAGGAAGAUUAAUACCCCAUAAUAUAUUAACUGGCAUCAGUUGAUAUUGAAAACUACGGUGGAUAGAGAUGGGCACGCGCAAGAUUAGCUAGUUGGUGAGGUAACGGCUCACCAAGGCGACGAUCUUUAGGGGGCCUGAGAGGGUGAUCCCCCACACUGGUACUGAGA
rnacentral:rRNA from 1 species